GGAGGGGAUGUGAGGUCAGGGGACCUGCCUGUUACCAGCUGUAAGAUCUUGAUGAACCAGAGGUGAUAACAGAGGCCCUUCCUGGAACUGCUGUGAGGAGUAAAUGAGAUAAGAACGUGGAAGUGAAGCACAGGUGUCAGUUAUUAAUGAGAGUCUGUUAACCUAAUAGACACCACUGACUGAGCUCUUACAACUGCACGGGACGAGGGCUUCACUUCACUAGCCUGGCCUCCUUUAAUCCAAUAAUCGCACAAAGAGGGCCCUGUAAGUAUCUCUAUUUAUCAAAUGAAGAAACUGAAGGCCAGAGAAGUCAUGGAACCUACCCCAGGUCACACAGCUGGUCAGUGGCACAAUGUGGAUUUGAACACGGGCUCUUGGUCACUCUGCGGUGCUUUCCUCUAUGCAGCAGUCUCUGUGUUAGCCACAGAGAUGUGAAAGUGGCGAUCUUGUGGGGUCGAGACUGCAGAGCGCACAGCUUGGCUGUAACACACACCCACAAACUCCAAGGAGCCAACAGACCCCCUAGAACGGAGCCUUAGUUUACGAGGCAGCUCUUUCUUCGGACCGGGAAAAUAAGUCAAAAUGGUGCACAGGAAGUAAGAUAAAUACGCGGGCUUCCUCCCGGAUCCGGCUGGAGCCCUGGGGGGCACAGUCGUGCCCUGCUCCUCCCCCCCACGCCACCCAUCAGCAGAGGGACGUUGGACAGCUCCUCCAGGACCCGUCUGCUGGAGCAGUGAGAGCGAGUGCUGGCUUUCUGCCUGGAGGGCGAGUUCCCUCCUGGGAAAUUGCAGGGACUGGGCGCCGAGCCCGGGGUUCUUUCUGCCCUCUUCAUUCCACCCCCACCCCUCCACGCACGCAUGCCCGCGUUCCGGCUGCCUCUGGGUCAGGCUGAGUCUUGGGCUGCAGCAAGAAGAUUCUUAAAGCCCACACUUUCUCUCCUUUGGCACAAGGCAGUUGGACAGCUCUGAGAUGAAUGGGGCUGCACAGCUGUCGGGGGUGACACAGUUUUCCCUGGAUGUGGCCGUAGCAGAGGAGCUCAGGUCAAGCAGGUGGUGGCCCCUAGUCCAGCUCCUGGGGUGGCUUGGACCAACCCCGAGCCCUGGGUUCUAGUCCCGGCUGCCCUGUGAACUUGUGAUGGACGCAUCAGACAAGCUCUAAGCCUGAGUUCCUUCAUCUGUGAAAAGGAGAAGUACAAACGCUGCCCUGUCCGCUCGCGGGGCUAACAUAGGCAACAAAUGAGAAAAUGGACGUGACAGAACUUGGUAAGCUCCCUCCCCUGUUAGCAUUGUGUUAUUAGGCUGUUGGUAAGGUUUUGUCCUGGAUAGUCUGUCCUUUUGUCCAUCCACCCUAGCAACUCACCCAUGCUCCCAGGGCUCUGCCCAACCCGCUGACCUGAAGUAAGAGGGGUAAGGAGUAAAUAUUUUUUCAGGAAACCAGUUAGGAAAUGACAGCCCCCUCAGCUCUCAGCCCAAAGGCACCCGUUUGGGUUGUGUGAAGACAGGGCUGGGGCUUGCGUUGCAGAUAGACCUGGGCAUCAAGUUCCUGCCUCACCACUGGUAGCACCUGAGGCAUGUCGUCUGCUCCCUGAGUCUUAUCUUCACCGAUAAUGCGAGCCGCCUUCCAGGGAUGUUUUGAGACUCAAAGUGGAAACCUGAUGGAAAGUCCUUCAGGAACUGUAAAGUGUGGGGCAAUUGUUUACUUCUUGUCCUUCUGGCCUGCACACAGAGUAAGCACUGUGCCCUGGAGCCCCACAGCAAGAUGGCUGGGCUAGGGUACCGGCAGCUUGUUCCAUCCCGCCUCAUCCCAGCAUCACGCCCCCAAACCUAGAAGCCCUCACAGCGGGACAGUGUCCUGGUGAGCCCAAGGCACUCCUUGGUGUAUGUGACAUUGCCCAGGCUGAGCAGCGGCCCUCUCAGCCUCCACCAUGGCCCACAGACCCUAAGGGCACUGGCUCUCUGGGAAGGUCACCUUUACUUCCACGACAAUCCUUGUAAGCGGAGGAUUCUAACCCGGCUACAAUGGGAGCCCCUCACCUGGGCUCCUCAAUGGGAAAGUUACCAACGUGCAAAAUCUUUCUUUCUUUCUCCCCCCGUGCUGCAGCUUCAAAUACUCACUGCUCAAAGAAGAAUCAUGCUGAUUCUGGACUUCACGCAUGAAGCCUAGGUUUUCAUCCCAAAACGCUAUGUUGGAACAAAGGUGACUCCUUAUGAGGAGACCUGAAGGGUGACUCAAUGUGCUGGCACAGUGGGGUGGAGACCGCAGUGGGCUCUGGCAAGAGUUCUGGGUCCUGGUCCACUCUCUGCUGCUGACCUUGGAUGAUUUCUUUCCACUGUGUGACCCACUCUAUAAGGUGAGGUCCCUGCAUCAGACAACCUCCAGGGGCCCUUGAUGCUCAAAUUUCCAUUCCUUCCUAUAUUACUGUUCUCCUGGGUUUCCUCUGGCCAGAGUGCUCUUCUCUCUAGCUGAGAUACUCAACAGCAUCUGUCUUGCCAACCCAGGCAACUAUAGUAUCAGCUUCCAUUUAGAGCAUCUUCUAUUAUCCCCAGUUGAUACAUUAGAAAAUCAAGGCUCAGAGGAGUUGACUGGCUGACCCAUAGUCACACAGCUGUGAGAGAGGAACCAAGCUUCAACCUCAAGCGUCGACUCAGCUUCAGAGCCUGUGUUCUUAAUUAUCACACACUGUGGCAUUUUCCUGUGUCACUGCCUAGUUACUGUUUAUAAAAAUCACACAGCUAUAAGUGAGGAACCAAAAUUCAACCUCAGGCUUCAACUCAACUUCAGGGGCACGUUCUUAAUUAUCACACACUGUGGCGUUUUCCUGCAUCAUUGCCUGGUUAUUGUUUACAAUCAACGUGACUGUAAGACAGUCUAUGUCUCUCAUGCCUCAAAUUAUUUACCAAGACUUGACACAAAGAACACUGAUUCUACUGAAUGUUAAUCCUCGAAAAAAUAGUUUUCAUGAUCAAGUGAGUUUGACAUUGAGUAAAACAAGUAAACAGUUUCUCUUUAACUGCAAGACUUCUCAGAGCCUUUAAGAUGUGAGUAAGGUGCAUUUUAAAUCUACUAGAGGGGAUAGAGUAUACAAUUUUCCCCAAAGCUCUUUGUCCAUAGACCUCCUCCCUUUUUUUUUUUCCCCUUUGAGAAACUUGUGUUCCACUAAAAGACUAGGGUUCUACAAUUUCGCUACUCAAGCAUGAGACUGUCCCCAGACAGGCAACAUCAGGUGUCACCUGGAGCUAGUUAAAAAUACAGAAUCUCAGACCCUGCCUAGACCUGCCAAACCAGAGUCUGCAUUUUAAUAAGAGGCCCAGGUGGUUCGCGUGCCCAGUAAAGUUUGAAAAGCCCUGGUCCACGCUACACGUUUAGGGAAACAUGGCUUGAUGCAAGAGCAAUCAAGCCAUAAAAUCCAGUGGUGAAAAAAGUAUCAAGCACUAUUUGGCAUCACGUGGACCAAAUGACUAGAUUUGGAAUUAAGUCGAGGUGCUGUAACAUCACACAGAAUCCAAGAGAAUUCCCACAAUGUAAUGUUUCUCCCCAUUCCUAAUGGGAUGUCAAAAUUGAUAGAGAUGGAAGGAUGAUCAAUACCCUUUGCUAAAGGCAUUCCUAGAAUUCGGACAUGGAAAGCAUUGCAUUCCUCUUCCUAAAGUAUGAAGAUUUUUUAAAAAUUUCAGCUUUAUUGAGGUAUAAUUGACAUAUAAAAUUGUAAGAUAUUUAAAGUGUACAUUGUGGUGAUUUGAUAUACAUAUGCAUUGUGAAAGGAUUCCCCCCCUAGCGUUAGUUGACACCUCUAUCACUUCACAUAUUUAUCUUUUCUUUUUUACGGGAACAUUUAAGUUCUACUCUCAGUAUAUUUCAAUUAUACAAUUAUCAACUAUAGUCGCUAGGUCUUACAUUAGAUCCUCAGACCUUGUUCAUCUUAUAGCUGAAAGUUUGUACCCUUUGACAAACCUCUGCCUAUUUCCUCCACCCCCAGCCCCUGGCAACCACUUUUCUCUCUCAAUCAUAGAAGUAGGCGAGGUUAUGGGCAUCCCUGGGUUAUCACCUGGGAUAUUCUUGGGAAAUGACCCAUUGGUCCCUAAGCCUGGCAUCUCAGCAGACAGCCUCAAGGUUACAAAAGCUUGUCUCAAGGUUUUAAAAAUCACAGCUGAAAUGACCCAUUCAUGCAAGAUAAGACCUAUGCCUGCAGAAAACUGCCUUUGCUUUUGGCUGCAAUUAUUUCAAUUCAUGUGGUCACACUCUCUCAGGCUGACCUGACAUUUCAAGCUGUAGUUUGAUAUAUCUUUGCUCAACACAAGAUAGGGAAGCAAAUUAGACUUAACUUAAUUACUUCAAUGUUUUGGGGAGACAAAAAGUUUUCUAAGUCUGUGAGCAGAGAGGUUCACUAAGCGGCCCAAAGACACAGAGCUUGUAAGUGAUGACAGAUCUGUUGACUCCCAAGUCAGGACUCUUUCCAGUGCAGAGGCAACCCAAGGACACAUGUGUGUUUUGUCACACUCUUCACAUUUGGCUCCUAAGGAGUUUACCCUUCCCUAAACCCUUCCUUUUAUAAUACAAAGCACCCCUGUCUCCCUCCGCACGUCCCCCCGCUCUACUCUGCCUUUGGGUUUAGAACCUCUCAUUCAUCUUUAUUGAAUUCCUUUCUUUAGGUGCUGCCCAAUGUACCACCUCGCUAAGAUUUUUUUUCCCAUUCUAAAUUGUCAUGCAAAUCAUCUUCUAGUGCUCUCCACAGCUAGGAUGACUCUACCUACCUCCCUUGUCACUGGAGGAAAGGCCUUGUCAAGGAUGGAGCUCCACAGCCCCCUCUGAGAAGUAGGUAACUAGUAACCUGUCAAUCAAUUUGGAUGCAUCUCCUGGCCAAAAUAUCUAAAAUGGAACUCCCAGUUCUUCCCCGAGUCUUCCCACGUGCAGUAUGGCACCGCCAUAAAUUUGGUUGAUGGGAGAAAAAAUGUCUGUUCCUUUUUAUUCUUCAUCCAUCGUAUCUUAUCUAUCAGCAAGUCCUUUCCACUCAACUUCCAAAAGAUAGGCUAAAUCCUGUCACCAGCACUGUCACCAGCAGGUCUAAAACAUUGUCAUCUCUCACCUGGACCACUGCAAGCAUCUCCUAACUACUCUUCUUCCUUCUACUCAUGCUCUCUCCGGUCACUUGCCACAAGGCAGCCAGAGCGGUCAGCCACUGAAACAGCAUCAGAUCACACCACUCCCUUGCUUAAAACCCUUCCCCUCUGGAAUGUAGGCUCCAUGAGAUCUAGGCCCCAACUUUCAUAUUCACCUGUGUAUCCCAGGUGCCAACUGUGUACCUAGCACAAAGUAGGUAUCCAGUAAAUAAUGCUUGCGUGAAUGAAUCAAGUAACGACCUUAGUUGCAAAUAACAAGAAUCUUCUGUUAUUUAUAUAAAAGUGGCCCUUACUCUUUUUUGGUUUUUCUUUUUAUUCUAACAUUGUGGUAAGUCUUCUCUAGUCUCUGAGAUGUCAACAUAUCUAGACUCUAAGCAAUUUAUUCCUCCUCUUUCCUCCAGCCAACAGAAGCAAAGUGAAAGGAAUUUGCAACUUACACACACAAAUGCGUCUCCCUUCAGUUAUGUUGCUUGAGAAUAGAUGGGAGAUUAUGCUGAUUGAACUGGACAUUUUCCAUUUUUAUUAUUUCAAUUAUAAACAUAAACUAUUGGGGGUAAAAAUCAAAUGGAAAUCUGCCUAUCAAUUUCACAAUUAGCAUCUCAUUUCAAGAGACCAAUCAACUCAAAUGAGGGCCAGUGACCUUAAUCUUUCCCCAAAUACAGUGCUUGAUUCCUCUUAUUAGUUGAAAAUCUCCAAACUAUGAAACAUUUGGGUUAACCCCAUGUUUGCAUCAAUGAUGCUAUUACCACAUUUAAAUAAGUCCGGGGAUUUUUGUGACCUUUGUGUUACAGUUUGUAUGGCUGAAAGCAGAAGACUAAGGCUGUGCAAAUCAAGGAGAAAUAACAAGGGCCUCUUUUUUCCUUUAUUUUUCUAAGACUGUGGAAGGAAGUGUGAUUUUUAGGAGACUUAUUUUGCCACCAAUUAGCUGAAAUUAAUCUAAGAGGAGAGUAAACCCCAGAAGUCAAAGGCAGCCAAUUUUAAUCAUGAAAGUCUGUUAAAAAUCCAAUCAGAAAAAAACAUUGUCUUUGUGAUAUAGGAGGCGGGAAAUCUGGGUUUUUAAAAAAGGAGAGAAAUAGGGGUUGGCCCUAUGGCCAACUGGUUAAGUUCUCGCGCUCCACUGCAGGUGGCCCAGUGUUUCAUUGGUUCGAAUCCUGAGCGCGGACAUGGCACUGCUCAUCUAACCACGCUGAGGCAGCAUCCCACAUGCCACAACUAGAAGGACCCACAACGAAGAAUAUACAACUAUGUACUGGGGGGCUUUGGGGAGAAAAAGGAAAAAAAUAAAAUCUUAAAAAAAAAAGAGAGAGAAAUAGAAAAAGAAACAUUUGACCUGGCAAACAAAGCAUCUACAGAACAUCAAUAUCCUUGCAGAGAUUAGAACAAGACCACGUGCUCUGCGGAAUGAACCCCCAACUCCUGAAACACCGAAGGCUCCACCUAGACACACACACAGGUACCAACCGACCCUUAGAACUAGACGGACCAGUUCCUAAUGGGUUUGUUAACAGCUAUCUGGAUAAUUUCUCUUUGGAGAAGACUUGGGGUGCACAAGAUACCAAAACUACCCAUGAAACAUUUCAAGGUCAGCCAGGAAGCUGCCAGUCUUGUCCACCUGACUCCAUUGAUUGAUGCGCAUUGAAUAGCUGCAUCCAAGUCUUUGCUGAGGUGACUGAUUUUUCUUCAACUUGGCUGCACUAAUAAUUGGCUGUUUGGGAUCUAUAUGGCUAGAAUUCUUAAGCUGCAAGAAAUAGACGUAAGCCAAGCUUAGGCAGGAAAGGGGAAUUCAUUAAGAGGAUGUAGGACGGUUCCUCAGAACUCAAGGGCACAAACAGCACCAGACCUCAAGAAAGACCUUGCUCCGUGUCUCCUUUCUGUUCUCCUCAGCACAUCUGCUUCUCCGUUCACAAGACUGAAGGAAAUGGCCACCCCUCGCUACCUACUUCCCAUGUGGUCUAUUCUAGAGACCAAUCCAGCCUCUACCGGAAUCUUUGGGUCUCAAAUUAUGAGCAGAAAGAAUCUGAAUCACCAAAUUUGGGUCAGGUAUCCAUUCUGACACAUUUGACCAUGGCCAAUGAGGGUGGGUCACAUGGCACAGACAUGGCACAUCCGUGUAGCCAAAGAUGAAGAGAGCAAUUCAGGAAGAUCAGUAAGAGCUGGGCAGAAUCCCCCAGAAUGUGUCCAGUAAAAGAUUGCGUUGUCACAACCAGAGACGACUGAACUAGCCUCACACACAGAGCCACAGCCAAGCCAAAUGAGUCCCAUUGAACCUCCGGUCACACCAUCUCCUCAGGGUGAGAGGCUGGCACCCGGUGGGGACUGCUGCUCUGUAGCUGCACAGCAUUCUGGGAGAGGAGCCCUGGCUCUCCUGUCUGAGAGCACCCUGCCUUCUUCUUCUUCAUACUGCUUGUCACAGUUUAUAAUCCUCCCUUUAUCUGUAAACUGAUUUAAUGAGCAUCUCUCUCCACCACUUGGCUUGAAGUUCUAUGAGGUCAGGUACCAUAUUGGUUUCACUUGCCUUCAUAUUCCUGGUACCGUGCCUGGCACACAGUGGGUACUCACGAAAGAAUACUGAAUGAAGGAAUGAAUGAAAGGGUUGCUGAAUGAAUGAAUGGAGUGAAGGAGGUCAGGUAAGUUUUUCCAGAUGAUUUGGUACAUGAGUUGCGUCUUGAAGGACAAACAAGAGUUUUCUAGGAGAACAGGUCGGGAGAGGGAAUGACAGGUACAAAUGUUACCAUGGAGACUGUGAGGCAGGUUUGGGCAAGAGAUCUGGCUAGAAAGGGGCUGUGGAGGCCAGCUAAUGGAUGGCCUUGUGUAGAAAUUGGAGGAUAAAGAGCUAGAAAGUAUAUUUCUAGAUUUUAGACAAAUCCAUCUGAUGGGAAGGUCGGGGCUGGAUUGGAGGCAGGAAGGUGAAUUAGGAAGUUUAUGUAGUCAUCCAAAAGAGAAAAGAAAUGGCAGUGGGAAUGAGGAGGAGCAGAUUUUAAGAGCUAUUAAGGAAGUUGAAUCAGCAGAAACUCACGGAAUGUAAUUUUCUCUGUUUUGUUACAUAGUUGUUUAUGCGCAUCUCAUCUCCCCUGCAAGACUGGGCGCUUCUGACUCUGUCUUCCUUAUUCCUGGGCUACCAGGGCUUGCACAGUGCCCACCCAACACACAGCAAUUUGUUGAAAAGAUAAACUCGCGAAUGAUUGAAUGAUGACCACUAACCAAGGGACAGGCUUGGGCUCAGGGUAACAUCUCUGUCUAAUGACCUGAACUGGAAUAGACUGAAAUGGAAUGGAACGGACCUCCUAUUCUUCAGAAACUACCUAACACACAGACUUGAAGCUGAGGAAUGGCUGGCAGAACAUCCCCCUGCAAAGGCUGAGAGUAGAUGAGGCAGGAGCCUCGCUCAGGGCUUCUAGAAGGAUAACUUAAUCUAACUGAACCACCCCUUUCAGCUAAGUGCCGGGAGAAGGGAGAAUAAAACCCCUUCAAGUGACCAAAAACACUGGAACCCCUGGGCAAAGACCAGAAUCCAAAGCCUCACAGAGCCAUACUGAGCCCGAACUAAUACCAGAAGCUUCUGACCUUAGGAAAUGAUGCAAGUGAAUGAAGGGUUGUUCCCAGCUUUCUUCUCAGUAAGCAUCUGAUGAAUGAAUGAAUGGACGAACGAACUAAUAAAUGAAUAUUUUCUACCUAUUCAUGGCAAGUUUUAAAAAAAGAAUGAAGACUGGAAAUAGCUGAUUCUUUAGUGAAUAGAGAUAUUACAUUUUACCUAAGAAUCUAUUAUUUCCUUGAUCUAUAUUAUUUACAAGCUGGAAAACAGUUUAUUGCAAACAUUGGUUCCAUUUCAAUAAAAAGUCAUAUAUGGAAAUUGUAAGGUAACAGGAUCGUGUCAUACAGCCUGAUGCCCGCCUCACCCAGGACAAGCCUGGCCCUUCAUCCGUCACAGCAAACUACACUUUCACCUGGGCGUUCAUCGGGGGCAGCUCCUGGACAGGAGGCAGAACGCCCAGGUGAAAGAAUGAGCCCACAACUAUUUCAAGCCUGAUGGUUGGCCUUAGAAUUGCCACUGUCCUACAGUCAACAUUUCUGCAUAAUCACUUUGAUGGAAAUUCUCUAUACACACAAACCAGUUUGCCUGAAUUGAGCAUCAUGAAGAAGAAAGAGGAAAAGAUAGAGGAAAAAGCCACAUGUUGGGGGCCAGCCUGAUGGCAGAGUGGUUAAGCUUGCACACUCUGCUUCAGCAGCCCUGGGUUCGCAGGCUCAGAUCCCAGGCAUGGACCGAGCACCACUCGUCAAGCCAUGCUGUGGCAGCAUCCCACAUAAAAUAGAGGAAGAUGGGCACAGAUGUUAGCUCAGGGACAAUCUUCCUCAAGCAAAAAGAGAUGGCAACAGAUGUUAGCUCAGGGCCAAUCUUCCUCACAAAAAGAAGAAAGAAAGAAAGCUGCAUCUUAAAAAAAAAAAAACUACACUGCAGUAUAAAUAUUUUGGCAGGUUUUCUUAGAUCUUUUUGGUCAUGCAGGUUUCACUUGUAACCAUUCCCUCAUGGUACUGAAAACCUCUGCCAAAACAUCACUUUUAGCAGUUGCGUGAUAUUCCUUCAAGUACCUGAGUCCUGGCGUCCUUAACCAUUAUCUUCAUUUUGGGCCUGUCUCUGCAUUGUUAACUUAUACACAAUGCUAUCACGACUACCCCUGUGCACAGAGCUGUUUCCGUGUAUCAGGUGAACUAGCUGGGAGGAACUCUGGGACAAGUAAUUAAGGAAGAUAAUGGACACAUCUGUGCACUUUUUCCAAAAGAAGACAUUGCCUUUGCUCCCUGGACACAUUACGAGGCAGGACCAAGACCGUGACUUCUGAGUCUCUUCCAGCUUGAAGAACCACCUAAACCCAGGUUCCCCAUGAUUGGCCGCUUCAGAAUCGCAGGGGUGGGGCCCAGGCGUCUGUAUUUUUCAGCCCUCCAGGGGACAAACUACCUUGCCGAGUUCCACCCAGACAUCCCUCACGCAUGCACAGUUCCCAGAGGAAACUGUGGGUCAGGACUCUUCACAGGAAACGGCCGAAGCCAAUUAUAGGUGACUUAAGCGGCAAAGGGGGACUAACUGGUAGCUCACAGCACCAACGGGGAGCGGGCUCAAAAGCAGGUAGAAACCCAGAAGCCAGGAGGAGUCGGGGUACAGCACGCUGCCGCCCCUCCUGGAGCCGCCACCUCCACCUACUGGCCCUGUGGCCACCAGGAUGCAUUCUGAUCUGUCCCCUACCUCUGGGCAUCACUCACUCCACUACACUGGGCUAGAGCUACACUGGGCAAGAGCGCCUGGUUGGCUGAGCGUGGACCACACGCCCAUGCACAUGGGUACCUCACCCCCUUCCCUUCCUCUUUCCCUCUCACCUACACCCCCCCCCCCCCCCCCCGCCAUAGGAAAAGGAUUUGGCUACUAGGCAAUCCCAAAAGACAAAUAUUUUCUGUACACUCUGCUGACCUUUAUUACUUCAUUUGACUUCCACAAGAACCCUGCAAAGGUGGCCGGCCAGCAUGUAUUCCCCAUCUUGCCAACGAGGAAUCUGAGGCUGCGAGAGAGUGACUGGCCAAACUGAUGCUGAGGGUAGAGACAAGCUCUUUCCGCUACUCAGAACUACCUGCCUGUGGUCUGAUGCUGUGAAAUAUUGACAACGCCUGUCUCUCAUUUGAGCAGAGUUAUUGGAAGAGAAUCAGCUAUCACGAUGGCUAGAUACUAUACUUCAUAAACUUACUGAUCUGCCCAUCAUUUGUCUUAUUUGGUUGUUGUUGUUAAUACUUUUCGCUCCUGGAGAAAAUAUUCAGCUAGUGAGCUCAUCUGUUCUGCCAUUCAAUGUAUUAAAUUAACACCUCAACGCACGGUCUAAAACUUAGAGGUGAAAAAUUGGGUCCUUGCAGCCAAGACCAAAUAUCAUUUAUCUUAAGCUUGCAUAUUAGGGAGACUGUUUAAAAACGUGACUUUGAAAUUCCUUGGAAACAAAGGUGUUUCCUGCACUGUUUGGAGGACCGUCUUAGUUCAUUCGGGCUGCCAUAACAAAACACUACAGACUGAGUGGCUUAUAAACAACAGAAAUUUACUUUCUCGCCGUUCUAGAGGAUGGAAGUGCAAGAUCAAGGCACCAG
rnacentral:lncRNA from 1 species